GAUGAACGCUGGCGGCGUGCCUAAUACAUGCAAGUCGAGCGAACGGACGAGAAGCUUGCUUCUCUGAUGUUAGCGGCGGACGGGUGAGUAACACGUGGAUAACCUACCUAUAAGACUGGGAUAACUUCGGGAAACCGGGGCUAAUACCGGAUGAUAUUUUGAACCGCAUGGUUCAAAAGUGAAAGACGGUCUUGCUGUCACUUAUAGAUGGAUACGCGCUGCAUUAGCUAGUUGGUAAGGUAACGGCUUACCAAGGCAACGAUGCAUAGCCGACCUGAGAGGGUGAUCGGCCAGACUGGAACUGAGACUCGUCCGAGACUCCUACGGGAGGCAGCAGUAGGGAAUCUUCCGCAAUGGGCGAAAGCCUGACGGUGCAACGCCGCGUGAGUGAUGAAGGUCUUCUGAUCGUAAAACUCUGUUAUUAGGGAAGAACAUAUGUGUAAGUAACUGUGCACAUCUUGACGGUACCUAAUCAGAAGGCCACGGCUAACUACGUG
rnacentral:rRNA from 1 species